GACGUAGGAGGCGAGCGUUGUCCGGAGUUACUGGGCGUAAAGCGCGCGCAGGCGGCCCUGUGCGCUGCCGGUGAAAGCUCCCGGCUUACCUGGGAGAGGUUCGGGCAGGACGGCAGGGCUGGAGGGUGGGAGAGGUCGGUGGAAUUCCCGGUGUAGGUGGUGAAAUGCGUAGAGAUCGGGAGGAACACCCGUAGCGAAGGCGGCCGACUGGACCACACCUGACGCUGAGGCGCGAAGGC
rnacentral:rRNA from 1 species